AUAUAGAUUAAUACAAGUAAGUCCUCAAUGGUGUGUUGCAAUUUGUUUCUGUUUUUCCUGUCGGUAUAUUCCCACCUGUUGAAAGGAGCGCUUCCUAAAAGAUAAAAUGCUUGUGAUUAUCCUCUUCUAGCCAAGAGGCAGAAGUGGUAUGAACUAUGGGAAGAUAAACUUCUCUUUACCAUGAUCUCAGGAGUCCUAUCUGCCGGCAAUUGUCUAAACUAAACUGUACUUGUUUUCCUAAUCUACUACUUUUCAGCGUGAUUCUGUUCAGUAAAGAAAGCAUUUCAACUCGACUUUUUUUCCACCUGACCUGUUUGUCUUGCUGUGGUUGUCUCUUCAGCUCUUCAGUUUGUCACUCUCAGACCGACCACGACCACCAUCUAGCGCCCCCUCUAUCCUCUCCAGACUGCAGACGUCCAGGAGGAAGCCAUAGCAGCACAAAGACCCUGGGCAAGAACGAGAUGGCUUUGUCCACAGAACAGGAAGAAGGAACAUAUUCAAGAGAAAAGUAGAGAGCUUGCCAUUCAUUCGUCAAAAUGUGAAGUUACUUUCUUUUUCAUCACUUCAAAGAAGCUUGUAAAAUAUUUUUAAAAGGAAGGGCUAUCGAAUAGAAAGACUACAUGAUAGCAGGACUGUAGGACAGCAUGAUAAUUGAAACUACUACUAUGAUCUGAAGUUUUUGUUUUUCCUUAGUGAGGCAUUCACACCCUUUUAAAAUUAAACCAGCCACUAACAGAACAGUAAUACCAAUGUAAAAAUGUUUUAAAAGUCAUCCCUUGCAAAACCUUAGUUUUAAGAUAUUAGCAGUCGCCACAGAAGUUUAUAUCCUCUUUUGUAUUUAA